CCUGCAGUGAUGAGUAAACUGACUUUCGUUCUACUGAAUUUGCUGAAGACAUAUUUUUAUCUGAAAAGG
ensembl:snoRNA